GGGAAACAAAUGCAAUCUUGAGCUCCUGCAUAGAAUAAGGUAAAGGUAAAGGGACCCCUGACCAUUAGGUCCAGUCGUGACUGACUCUGGGGUUUCAGCGCUCAUCUUGCUUUAUUGGCCGAGGGAGCCGGCAUACAGCUUCCGGAUCAUGUGGCCAGCAUGACUAAGUCGCCCAUUCUUGGGCAAGGUGAUUGAGCGUGUGGUUGCUGAACAACUCCAGGCACGCCUGGAGGAUGCGGACCAUUUGGAUCCCUUCCAAUCGGGGUUCAGGCCUCAUCAUGGGACUGAAACUGCCUUGGUCACACUGGUUGAUGAUCUCCGGCGAGCUAAGGACAAAGGUGAGAGUUGUUUCCUAGUUCUGCUGGAUCUCUCAGCGGCCUUUGAUACAAUCGACCAUAACAUCCUUCUGGACCGUCUAGAGGGGUUGGGAGCUGGAGGCACUGUUAUACAGUGGUUUCGCUCCUUCCUCCUGGGCCGUGUUCAGAAAGUGGGGGGGGUGGGUGUUCAGACCCUUGGGCCCUCACUUGUGGGGUGCCUCAGGGUUCCGUCCUCUCCCCCAUGCUUUUUAACAUCUAUAUGAAGCCGCUGGGAGAGAUCAUCAGGGGGUUUGGACUGGGUGUCCAUCAAUAUGCAGAUGAUACCCAGCUCUACCUCUCUUUCAAAUCAGAACCAGUGAAGGCAGUGAAGGUCCUGUGUGAGUGCCUGGAGGUGGUUGGAGGAUGGAUGGCGGCUAAUGGAUUGAAGUUGAAUCCUGACAAGACAGAAGUACUGUUUUUUGGGGGACAGGGGGCGGGCUGGUGUGGAGGACUCCCUGGUCCUGAACAGGGUAACUGUGCCCCUGAAGGACCAGGUGCGCAGCCUGGGAGACAUUUUGGACUCACAGCUGUCCAUGGAGGCGCAGGUCAAUUCUGUAUCCAGGGCAGCUGUCUACCAACUCCACCUGGUACGCAGGCUGAGACCCUACCUGCCCGCGGACUGUCUCACCAGAGUGGUGCAUGCUCUAGUUAUCUCCCGCUUGGACUACUGCAAUGCGCUCUACGUGGGGCUACCUUUGAAGGUGACUCGGAAACUACAACUAAUCCAGAAUGCGGCAGCUAGACUGGUGACUGGGGGGCGGCCGCCGAGACCACAUAACACCGGUCUUGAAAGACCUACAUUGGCUCCCAGUACGUUUCCGAGCACUAUUCAAAGUGCUGGUGUUGACCUUUAAAGUCCUAAAUGGCCUCGGUCCAGUAUACCUGAAGGAGCGUCUCCACCCCCAUCGUUCUGCCCGGACGCUGAGGUCCAGCGCCGAGGGCCUUCUGGCGGUUCCCUCAUUGCGAGAAGCAAAGCUACAGGGAACCAGGCAGAGGGCCUUCUCGGUAGUGGCGCCCGCCCUGUGGAAUGCCCUCCCAUCAGAUGUCAAAACGAUAAACAACUACCUGGCAUUCAGAAGCCAUCUUAAGGCAGCCCUGUUCAGGGAAGUUUUUAAUGUAUGAUAUUUUAGUGUUUUUGGUUUCUAUGGAAGCCGCCCAGAGUGGCUGGGGAAACCCAGCCAGAUGGGCGGGGUACAAAUAAUAAAUUAGUAGUAGUAGUAGUAGUAGUAGUAGUAGUAUGAGCUUUCGUGUGCAUGCACACUGUCAAUGACUACCAGUCACAAUGGCUGUGCUCUGCCUCUACGAUCGGAGGCCAUAUGCUUCUGAAUACCAGUUGCUAGAAAUUGCAGGAGGGGAAGGUGCUGCGUUGCUUAGCUCCUGCUUUUUGCAGGCAUCUCAUAGCAUCUUGUUGGUCACAGUGAGAACAUGAUGCUGGACCAGAGGAGCCACUGGCCUGAUUCAGCAGCCUCGCCUUAUGUCAUGUCUUAUAUUCUUAUGUAAUGUCAUUUGUAGAUCAGAAAGUCAGAAAAGCAGCCUCCUUGCUUUACCUGCUGCGUUUUAUGGUCUCGAUAUUUACAGUAAAAUAACAAAACAAACAAAGCGAAAGUUUGCCAACACCAAGCAAGUAGCUGUGUGGGGUUUCACUGCUUUGGUGUCUGAAUUACCAACUCAGAGGUAUUACAGUAGUCACAUACAGUGGUACCUCAGGUUACAGACGCUUCAGGUUACAGACGCUUCAGGUUACAGACUCCGCUAACCCAGAAAUAGUACCUCAGGUUAAGAACUUUGCUUCAGGAUGAGAACAGAAAUCUCAUGGCGGCGGCGCGGCGGCGGCGGCAGGAGGCCCCAUUAGCUAAAGUGGUGCUUCAGGUUAAGAACAGUUUCAGGUUAAGAACGGACCUCCAGAACGAAUUAAGUUCUUAACCUGAGGUACCACUGUACAACCUUCAGUGUGGGAAAUAGCAGGAUACAUACAAACAAAUAUUUAUUAAACAGAUACCCUGGUCUUGCUCCAGAGCGUCUUUCACCCGGGCACCUUAAAAGACCCAAGACCUUCUUAGCUUACUAGUAGAACCAGGCUAUAUGCCUUCUGACCAUUCUCUGGGUGGAGGCCAUAGAUACACCAUACAUUUAAAGCACAGUUAUACCACUUUAACAAUCACAUGGCAUCCUAGGAACUGUAUCUGGUGACUGGCAGCAGCUCUCCAGGGUCUCAGGCAGGUGCCUCUCCCAGCUCUACCUGGAAAGGCCAGGAAUUGAACAUGGGACCUUCUGCAAAGCAGAUGCUCUGCCACAUACUCACUGGUACAGAAAGCUGACAGGCUGCAAACAACUUGUAUCCUUAGGGACAUAUGUAAGCGAAAGCAAAGGAAUUGUAGCCCAUAGCUUAACUUUACAUUAGAACUGCAAUUUCCACCCUCCCUUCCCUACAGGUGGGCGGGGUUUGCAGCACCGAGUGGGGGCUCACCUGGACGGGUGCCUUCCACCUGCUUGGGUUGGCCUUUGACCCACCCUCGGCCAGGAAGGAUAAUGGACGGCCGGCCGAGGGUGGGGCUAAGGCCAAAGAAAAGAGGCUGACCCUUUUGACCAAGCCUCACUUGGUUUUCUUCCAUCCAGGAUCACCCAGCCACCCUCCCUCAAAUUAAUAAUUUCUUUCCUCCAAAUAAUUUCAUCCUAGGUCAGCGGUCAUCAAGUUAACGAUACCUUUUCCUUACUUUUUCCUUCCAGGUCAGCGGGCGCUGCUGCGGUCGUAAGAUGGUUGCUGUAUUCAGAACUGGGAAGGAAUUUUCACUGCAUUGGCAGGUUUCGCCUUCCCCAUAGCAUUUCGUCACAACUUUGGUGGUUUUAGGCCUUGGCAAGGUAUCCUUUAGUCUAUCAUCAAGUCAGGGGGGAUGCAUUCAUGCUCCCUUCCCAUGCAGCAGCACUUGCAGGGCCCGUUAAAGGGCAAAACUGGGAGUCCCUAGCCCUAGAGCGGCGGCAUGUAGGUCAAACUCCCGGGAGUUUGUGCUUUACAGUCCCCUUCCCACUGCACCUCGUCAGCCUGCAUAUCCUCAGCCAGAUGGGCUGAGAGGGUUACCUGCCAAGGUCUGUGCCAAGUUUCCCACUUCUGAAGCUCAAUAAAGUUGUGGCCAAUUUGAACC